GGGGCGUAUUCAGAGCCGGGGGCCUGAAGAAGUGGCUCCUCUGUUUCCAGCACACCCAACGGGAAGCUGGGUUCAUUGUGACAAGGGACACAAACCUCAUGACCUGUCUAUGAACAAAUACCCAACAUGU
rnacentral:snoRNA from 1 species